rnacentral:rRNA from 1 species
UACGAAGGGGGCUAGCGUUGUUCGGAAUUACUGGGCGUAAAGCGCACGUAGGCGGGUCGUUUAAGUCAGGGGUGAAAUCCCGGAGCUCAACUCCGGAACUGCCUUUGAUACUGGCGAUCUUGAGAUCGGAAGAGGUGAGUGGAAUUCCCAGUGUAGAGGUGAAAUUCGUAGAUAUUGGGAAGAACACCAGUGGCGAAGGCGGCUCACUGGUCCGAUACUGACGCUGAGGUGCGAAAGCGUGGGGAGCAAACAGG